rnacentral:rRNA from 1 species
GACGAACGCUGGCGGCGUGCUUAACACAUGCAAGUCGAACGGAAAGGCCCUGCUUUUGUGGGGUGCUCGAGUGGCGAAGGGGUGAGUAACACGUGAGUAACCUGUCCUUGACUUUGGGAUAACUUCAGGAAACUGGGGCUAAUACCGGAUAGGAGCUCCUGCUGCAUGGUGGGGGUUGGUAAGUUUCGGCGGUUGGGGAUGGACUCGCGGCUUAUCAGCUUGUUGGUGGGGUAGUGGCUUACCAAGGCUUUGACGGGUAGCCGGCCUGAGAGGGUGACCGGCCACAUUGGGACUGAGAUACGGCCCAGACUCCUACGGGAGGCAGCAGUGGGGAAUAUUACACAAUGGGCGGAAGCCUGAUGCAACAACGCCGCGUGCGGGAUGACGGCCUUCGGGUUGUAAACCGCUUUCGCCUGUGACGAAGCGUGAGUGACGGUAAUGGGUAAAGAAGCACCGGCUAACUACGUG